CCGUUCAAUACUGCGGAGCUCGAGGGCAGAAGAGGGGGGUGGAAUUGCUGGUGUAGUGGUGAAAUGCGUAGAUAUCAGCAGGAACACCUGUGGCGAAAGCGGCCCCCUGGUCUGCUCCUGACACUCAGACGCGAAAGCUAGGGGAGUGAACGGGAUUAGAAACCCCGGUAAUCCUAGCCGUAAACGAUGGAUGCUAGGUGUGGGUGGUAUUGACCCCAUCCGUGCCGAAGCCAACGCGUUAAGCAUCCCGCCUGGGGACUACGGCCGCAAGGUUAAAACUCAAAGGAAUUGACGGGGACCCGCACAAGCAGCGGAACGUGUGGUUUAAUUCGAUGCUACACGAAGAACCUUACCCAGGUUUGACAUGCAGGUAGUAGUGAAGCGAAAGCGGAACGAUCCUUCGGGAAGCCUGCACAGGUGCUGCAUGGCUGUCGUCAGCUCGUGCCGUGAGGUGUUUGGUUAAGUCCACUAACGAGCGCAACCCCUGUCGUCAGUUACAUGUGUCUGGCGAGACUGCCGGUCUUAAACCGGAGGAAGGUGGGGAUGACGUCAAGUCAGCAUGGCCUUUAUAUCUGGG
rnacentral:rRNA from 1 species